rnacentral:rRNA from 1 species
CGUCAAGUCCUCAUGGCCUUUAUGACCAGGGCUGCACACGUCCUACAAUGGCGCGUACAAAGGGAAGCAACCUCGUGAGAGCAAGCAAAUCCCAAAAAACGCGCCCCAGUUCGGAUUGCAGGCUGCAACUCGCCUGCAUGAAGCCGGAAUCGCUAGUAAUCGCGGGUCAGCAUACCGCGGUGAAUAUGUUCCCGAGCCUU